rnacentral:pre_miRNA from 1 species
AGGAGCAACAGCCCCAGUGGCGGGGCCAGCUCUGGAAACCUGGAUUCAGCCCCCGCAGGAACUCCGGAGCUCUCCGUCUGCAGGGCCUGGAGGCUCCGGGGCAGG